UACGUAGGGACCGAGCGUUGUCCGGAAUCAUUGGGCGUAAAGAGCUCGUAGGCGGUUUGUCGCGUCUGCUGUGAAAGACCGGGGCUCAACUCCGGUUCUGCAGUGGGUACGGGCAGACUAGAGUGCAGUAGGGGAGACUGGAAUUCCUGGUGUAGCGGUGAAAUGCGCAGAUAUCAGGAGGAACACCGGUGGCGAAGGCGGUUCUCUGGGCAUGUCCUGACGCUGAGGAGCGAAAGUGUGGGGAGACGAAGCAUG
rnacentral:rRNA from 1 species